rnacentral:rRNA from 1 species
UGGCUCAGAUUGAACGCUGGCGGAAUGCUUUACACAUGCAAGUCGAGCGGCAGCGCGGGGCAACCUGGCGGCGAGCGGCGAACGGGUGAGUAAUGCAUCGGAACAUGUCCAUGUCGUGGGGGAUAGCCCGGCGAUAGCCGGAUUAAUACCGCAUACGCCCGAGAGGGGAAAGCAGGGGGACCGCAAGGCCUUGCGCGAUUGGGUUGGCCGAUGUCCGAUUAGCUUGUUGGUGAGGUAAAGGGCUUACCAAGGCGAUGAUCGGUAGCUGGUCUGAGAGGAUGAUCAGCCACACUGGGACUGAGACACGGCCCAGACUCCUACGGGAGGCAGCAGUGGGGAAUUUUGGACAAUGGGGGCAACCCUGAUCCAGCCAUUCCGCGUGAGUGAAGAAGGCCUUCGGGUUGUAAAGCUCUUUUGUCCGGAGCGAAACGGGCGGCCCUAAUACGGUCGUCUACUGACGGUACCGGAAGAAUAAGCACCGGCUAACUACGUG